UGCCUACGGGAGGCAGCAGUGGGGAAUAUUGCACAAUGGGCGAAAGCCUGAUGCAGCAACGCCGCGUGAGCGAUGAAGGCCUUCGGGUCGUAAAGCUCUGUCCUCAAGGAAGAUAAUGACGGUACUUGAGGAGGAAGCCCCGGCUAACUACGUGCCAGCAGCCGCGGUAAUACGUAGGGGGCUAGCGUUAUCCGGAAUUACUGGGCGUAAAGGGUGCGUAGGUGGUUUUUUAAGUCAGAAGUGAAAGGCUACGGCUCAACCGUAGUAAGCUUUUGAAACUAGAGAACUUGAGUGCAGGAGAGGAGAGUAGAAUUCCUAGUGUAGCGGUGAAAUGCGUAGAUAUUAGGAGGAAUACCAGUAGCGAAGGCGGCUCUCUGGACUGUAACUGACACUGAGGCACGAAAGCGUGGGGAGCAAACAGGAUUAGAUACCCCGGUAGUCCA
rnacentral:rRNA from 1 species